UUGGAGGGCAAGUCUGGUGCCAGCAGCCGCGGUAAUUCCAGCUCCAAUAGCGUAUAUUAAAGUUGUUGCAGUUAAAAAGCUCGUAGUUGAACUUCGGAAUUUGCCCAUUGGUCAGGCUUAACUGUCUGGACUGGUGUGACGAGUUCCUACCUUCUGAGGAAUCUUCAUGCCAUUCAGCUGGUGUGGUGGGAAAUCAGGACUGUUACUUUGAAAAAAUUAGAGUGUUUAAAGCAGGCAUCCGUCUGAAUACAUUAGCAUGGAAUAAUAAAAUAGGACGGUUUGGUUCUAUUUUGUUGGUUUCUAGGAUCACCGUAAUGAUUAAUAGGGAUAGUUGGGGGCAUUAGUAUUCAAUUGUCAGAGGUGAAAUUCUUGGAUUUAUUGAAGACUAACUACUGCGAAAGCAUUUGCCAAGGAUGUUUUCAUUAAUCAAGAACGAAAGUUAGGGGAUCGAAGACGAUCAGAUACCGUCGUAGUCUUAACCAUAAACUAUGCCGACUAGGGAUCGGACGAAGUUAAUUUUUAAAUGACUCGUUCGGCGCCUUACGGGAAAC
rnacentral:rRNA from 1 species